AAGCUUUCUUUUUAUAGAGUAGUUUGGAAACACUCUGUCUGUAAAGUGUUCAAGCAGAUAUUUGGACCUCUUUCAGGCCUUCGUUGGAAACGGGAUUUCUUCAUAUAACGCUAGAAAGAAGAAUACUCAGUAACUUCUUAGUGUUGCCUCUAUUCAACUCACAGAGGUGAACUGUCCUUUAGACAGAGCAGAUGUGAAACCCUCUUUUUGUGAUAUUUGCAGGUGGAGAUUUCAAGCGCUUUUAGGCCAAAUGUAGAAAAGGAAAUAUCUUCGUAUAAAAACUAGACAGAAUCAUUCUCAGAAACUACUUUGUGAUGUGUGCGUUCAAUUCACAGAGUAUAACCUUUCUUUUGAUGGAGGAGUUUGGAGACACUGUCUUUGUAAAGUCUGCAAGUGGAUAUUUGGACCUCUUUGAGGCCUUCGUUGGAAACGGG
rnacentral:lncRNA from 1 species